rnacentral:piRNA from 1 species
CUCUCCCUAGGUCCAAAGAGCUGC